UAAGAACCGAGUUGGCAGCACUGCACAUGCAGGUAUAAAACAGCGCGCUCUCACGCGCUCGCCACAGUUGAAAAAGAGUUUUUAAAAGUACAAGUCGAAGCCAUCCGUUGACGGAUACAGUUACAGUUACAGUAAAGUCGCAAACAUGUGCAAGGCUGUAAUAGAUUGUAAUGAAAGAGUGAAGGAUUGGAAGAGUGUGAGAGACGCUGAGAAAACGGCCUUCAAUUCGAGAGUGGUGUGAGUCAUCCAUGCGAAAAGCCACCAGCAAGAGCCUUUGGUCCCGGAGCACACUCGUUUCCUGCUCCUCGCACGUUAUUGGCAACGAUGAGGAGGAACGAAACACAAACAAGCAACUACGUCGCAGAGGGCCACUAAAUACCACCGAAUCCCGGUAGAGAAUCAGCCAUUCAGCUAUGGCAACCAUGAAUUUGUGGCUGGUAAAGAAGAUACCCGAUCGUCGUUCCGGCGAUGUCGUUGCGUUAUUGAGUAACUGAGUGAGUCCACGUCUGUCCGAGUCACCCCCACCUCUACCACCUGGCAGUGAGUUCCGCAAACCAGCCGACGGCCGAUUCUGCACAGAUCGCCGGAGCAGGGAGCAGCAGCAGCAACCACCUCCGAGUCUCCUCCGCAAGGCAAUGCCAACGACAAUGCCCAUGCAAGUCGCAGCGGACAGAACAUUGGGGACAAGGCGGAAUGCGCGCGGCAGCAGCUCCAGCUCUCAUCAGCUUACCUGCGUUUGAAGCUCUCGUGCUUUCGCCAACCACCGACCACCAAUUCUGCAUAGAACGCUUCGCAGCUGCUGACCACCAACCCAUCCACACAGACACACGGUAUUUGGUAUAUCAGCUGCGAACAAAAUAUUGCUUUUUGAACAGAUUUACAGCGAAAAGAACAUCGGAGCCGUCGUCGUAUAUCAUCGAAAUAACACUACGAUUCUGCGUUUUGGAUUUUGAGGAGAUCAUGUCGCACCUUCGCAUGUACCGUAUGGGAUAAUUCUCGUCAAUUAAGACCUGGCAGGCAUCGAAUUUCUCAACUUUGACUGGGGCGUAUAUGGUCUCAAUCGUCUUCACUCGGCGUACUUUGUUGGACUUUUUCUCUUUUACCCUUUUAUAACUUUGGCAGGCAAAAUGAUUGGACCCUCGGCAUAUUUGCCCUUCCCAUUUUCCUAAUCAAUAGGCUAGAAAGGCCUAUUUCAUCUUUGUAGCGGCGCGUCACAGUUGAUCGGUUCCUGUGGGCGCCAGUGUUUGAUUGGCACCACACUUUACUCUGCACUCGCCAAGGUGUUGGAUGUCUUCAGGGCAGCAGGCUCGGAUCGUCAAAGAGAUUGAAUCAGAAGCACGCGGAAAAGAGUUAGUAGGCUAGGCACGAGCUUCACUUUUCGUUUAUUUUUCUAGCGAUGCGACGCAGUUGAACGGUGCCUGCGUGCAUCUGCAUGAAAGAAUGGGAGCAAAUGCGGCGGAGGAUGCCCAACUCAUACAUAGAGUUCAUGAAUUCGAAGGCCUGAAACAUCGAUGGGAUGAAAGCCAAAGCGUAAAUCGUUUUUGAUACCCAAAUCAUUCAAAAUGCUGCUGUUAUAUUAUUUUUAGCGUUUUGCUCUAGGCAGCUGGGAAAACGGACUGCUUCUACGGUAGCUACCCUUAUGUCGGAUUUUCUUCUAGUAGAUUUGCAGAGAAGCACAAUGAUUAAGUCGCAAGAAAAUAACGCUUGGAUCAACUGAAAAAUCGUAAAGCUAAGACAUUUGCAAUCGAAAUCCUUUUCUUUCGUAUUUUAUAGAAAUACAUAUUCGUGGACAUAUAAACUGCAGGGAAAUGCAAGACAGCCUUUACUGGGCGGCCCGCCCAUUCCAUGUAAAUUAUUUUUCCUAUGACCAACAAAAUAUUUCUGUCUUGUAGCGAUAUGGCUGCAGUAGAAUGUGCCUGCCCAUAUCUCAUCCGUUAUUGAGGUUAAAAUCAACAGCGAAUCGUCGACCACUCUGAACACACUUGCCUCUCUGCCUCUGAGUGACUAUUUUUGAGCAACUUUGGACCGACUAAAUAAGCAUUUCCAUAUGAAGUUCCUCUUCAUCAUUGCCAAGUAAAGUAGCGGCUCAUUAAUGUAUUCAUUACAGUGUUGAUACCAAGACACGAGGGGAAAACACGAAAGUCGCAAGAGGAGCUACCAACAAACUGAAAUCGAUAUGAAAUUUGCAAUCGAAACCCUUUUCUUUCGUAUUUUAUAGAAAUACAGAUUGGUGGACAGUUAAGAUGCAAGGGAAUUGAACGACAGCAGUUACUGGAUCACAUGUAAAUUAUUUGUAGUAUGUCCAACGAAAUAUUUCUGUCUUGUAGCGAAUGUGGCUGCAGUAGACUGUGCCUGCACACAUCUCAUCCAUACCUUAAGGGCCGAAGGCAACAGCAAAACGUCUAUUCCCGGGCCCUGUAUUGACAGUUUUUGAGCCACGAUUGGAUCGUCAAAAUGGGCAUUUUAAACUAAAGUUCCUCUUUCCUUCCCCCAAUGAACUAGAGGCUUAUUUAUGAAUUCAUUACAGUGUUUAUACCAAGACAUGAGUUUCUCACAGCCGUUCCGACCUAUCACACUGUUGACUUACCUGUGCACAUUCGCCUGUAUUGAAACCUACCGAGAACAUGUAGCAAAAUUUCUUGAGGCAAUGGGAAUCAAAUGCCAACUUGAAAGCAAUAACACCAACACUCAGUCGUCGCAGUCCAACAUCCAUACUACACGUCGAAUUUGAAUUGAAUCGCAGGUCAGGUCUGAACCCAACUAGAUCCCGCUUAUACUUGUUUUUCAGCGAUUUUUCGGGCCAGGACGUGGAUUCAUUUGUAGCAGGAACGACAUUUGGCUUGGGGCAUCGUGUCUAUUGGCCGGGGGCCGUGUGACCCUUCCCAGAGUGAGAACCUUAGUAGUCAUAAAUUUAUUUUGCACUUCUUGCAGCGGUGCCGCACAGUUGAGUGUGCCUGUGGGCAUCGACUUAGUUUUAUUCGAACCGAAAGGCAGGGUCAAGCCUUGGACUGGUCGGUUGAAGAAGAUGUGCCCCGCUCCUAGCUGGCCGAGUCUACUGCUGUGCUGCUGCAAAUCGUUAAAGGGAACCCAAAACGAUGCAUCAAGUCCAUCCAGUUAGGCUUCUCUUAGCAAGUAGAGCGCACCGCCGCUACAACGACAACCAAUUUAAGCGCACCUGCUACUGCCAACGAGCACAAUACGAUGAAUGAACAUCGCGUAUUAUCACAGAAAGCAUGCAGAAACGGCGGCCUGUCGCCUAUGCUGGUGCUAAAUGUUAUGCUUUUACAUUGCAGCCAAGUCUCUGCCGAAGAGGUCUGCUGGUGUCCACUCAAUCGCAAGGCAGUUCCUAGCACAGCCUCUCGAUGACCGGAGCAACUGUUUCUUAAACCGCGCCAAGCCAAGUCCAUUUGGUUGCCUCGCUGUCGCAAGAUCCACACUGGAGCGGGGGUCUGGCGCCGUGAUGUGCUGAGCUGAGCCUAAGCACGUACUGCAUUGCACCGCACAGACAUGUGCGUUCGGUCCACGCUAAAGGGAAUCAAAUGCGUUUGGACCGAGAGCCGCUACACCGCACCAUCACCAGUAUUCGCUGAGAAGUGAGCUGAUGUGUUGUCGUUGUUACAGGGCUGCUGCUGCAACUGCGCCACAGGCAUCCUCGCCUAGCGUCGCUAACUACCACUUGUCACUUUCAGCGAUCGGCAGUGUUCAUCAUUCGGUGUUGAAUGACAUCCGGACAGAUCAGAAGAAAACGGCGAGUAGCAGCAAGUCGUUUACCGCGCACAUGGGAACCAACUGCGAUUAGUGUUCAAGCAUUCGAAUUUGAAGAUGUGCAGCAGCGGCAGUUGGAGACUAUUGGUCAGACCAGACAGCCUAGCCGAACUCCACCCAGACUCUCAGAACGGAGCGCAGGAGAGACGGAACACGUCGAUCACCUCGAGCGGGUUGUCGUUUUACUUGCACUUUCCUUCCGUAGGUAGUCCAGAAUUCGAGAAAGACCAUAUCCAUCGCAAAGGGAAACAAGUGCGAUUAGUGUUCGAAGACCGAGCUGGGUGGCCAAUGGGUCACGCCACGCUCCGCCAGUUGAGCCCAUAACUCCUGGCCCGUCGAUCAUCGUACCGCAAAAGGGAAUCAAUUGCGAGGUGGUACUACAGCAGUCGAGCUUCCCGUUGAGCUCCUGGUCCUAGUCUAGCUCCCAGUCGGGCUCCUGGUCGAGUUCUUCGCUUCAGCACAAAUAUCGUAAAGGGAAUCCAAAGCGAUGUACAGCGACAGCGGCAGGCAGGGUCACCCAAGACACAAAGGUAUAUACGCUUUUCAGGAACGCCCACGACCACAACCCACUCAAACUACUCCACGUGUCUGAAUCUGGCUGCAAUGCCAGGCGCAUCUCCAGGCAUAUUCGUCAUGUUGGUCUCAAAGGGAAUCCAAGAGACACGCGCCCCGCGGUACAGCCGACUGAAGAACACUUUUAGUUUUUUGUUUCUUCAACCUAUCAUUGCAGCCUGCUGAUCGAAGUACCGCCCAUUUCAGGCUCAGAUCCACAUUCUACUAGUUAUGCAGUAAUAAGCAAACCAAUUAGCAUUCUUGUCCUGUAAAUUGUUUUCGUAGAUAAUGUAACAAUUUUUUUUUUCAAACACUA